rnacentral:rRNA from 1 species
UGGGGAAUUUUGGACAAUGGGCGCAAGCCUGACCCAGCAACACCGCGUGAAGGAUGAAGUAUUUCGGUAUGUAAACUUCGAAAGAAUAGGAAGAAUAAAUGACGGUACUAUUUAUAAGGUCCGGCUAACUACGUGCCAGCAGCCGCGGUAAUACGUAGGGACCAAGCGUUGUUCGGAUUUACUGGGCGUAAAGGGCGCGUAGGCGGCAAUUCAAGUCAUCUGUGAAAUCUCCGGGCUUAACUCGGAACGGUCAGAUGAUACUGCUUUGCUAGAGUGCAGAAGGGGCAAUCGGAAUUCUUGGUGUAGCGGUGAAAUGCGUAGAUAUCAAGAGGAACACCUGAGGUGAAGACGGGUUGCUGGGCUGACACUGACGCUGAGGCGCGAAAGCCAGGGGAGCAAACGGGAUUAGAUACCCGAGUAGUCCCUGAGCGGGCUGGCAAGGCGCAU